GACCGUCCUAACAAAGUCCCAUUGAGUCACCAGCUGAUUUUCCUGUGUUCAGCUCUGGGGGACAAGGGACUCUCUUUGCUGGAUGGGCAUUACUCUAGUGCACUGACCGAGCCACUCACCACUCAGGUCCGCCCCAGUUCCUUCCUGCCCUUUAUGCCAUCGGCAGACUUGGCCAGCUCUCUGUCCUAUGGCCAGUUUUGGUAGAGUCUGAAGAUUAAAAGGGACCGCAAAAAACCCCAGGCACCGCACCCGCACCUUCAGAGAAAGGUGCAGAUGGAUCGAUGAGAGUCCUAACCUGCUUCUGGAGCCGCCAUUCAUCUCCGUCCACUUUGGAACCCGGCAAGGGUCAUGCUAUCUGAUCUGGGACCCUUAGGGCUGCCUAGGUUUCUUGGCCCUGAAGUCCCAAGGACAAAAAACUGUGGAAGUCGUGCAAAAAAACACCAGAAACUGAACUGCCCACUGCCACAGAGAAAAUGGACAUGCGUGGGACCCUUGCAGCCACACUGCCAGCAAGGGGCUUCUGCUCCAGCCAGAAUGCUUUGCCCCUGCCCUGUCCUUGGCCACUCUGACCUCAUGCUGCUGGCCCUGGGUCCUGCUUUUAACGCUGAUUGCUGGAGUGAACGAGGGCCCGGGAGGAAGAGUCUGUGGGGAAAGCUGGCAGAGCGAUGAACGUUUUACACGAGCCAGCGAGUCACUGCCUUAUCGGGAAGAUGAGCUGCUCCCUCUUACCAGGAAGUACGAUGUGCGGAGAGCCAGUGUUUUUCCAAAGAUGGCCUUUGAAGAGGAGUGUUCCUUUAAGGGCUGGGAAAGCAGGAGUGAGGCUGGUGGAGAGAAACUGGGCCCCUUUAAGAUGCCUGGCUCUGGCAGGCUUUGCAGUCUUGGAGGUAAUAAGAGUCUGGCCACCUAUAUGCACUUGCUGGGUGUCUAUAGCUGCUUUAAGCACUCAAUCUAUACCAAGCCAUAUCAUAACAAGCCUAUAUAAUAAACAUCAGUCGGGUUUUUUUGCCUUUUAUCAAAAA
rnacentral:lncRNA from 1 species